ensembl:misc_RNA
CUGAAAGCCCUGGAAACUGAAGUCCUCUUUCUCUCCAUUAACCAGGUAGCAGCAGUGCAAGCUUCGCCAAGCAUGCUGCAUGAUGUGCCACCAAUAUGCCUCAACCCUGACCUGGAUACACCAUCUCUAGUGUCGACAAGGGGGUUUGUCUUCAUGUCCAUUCAGUCUUUCAUAUCU